rnacentral:lncRNA from 1 species
GCGUCGUCACCAGCCAUUAAGUCUUGUCGUUCCCUUCAGUUCCUGUGGACGAUCGUCUAACCAUGAUUGGCCGUGGCGUGUUUCUGGCUCUGCUGGUGGUAGUGGCUCUCUCUGCCCUGGCAAUGGCCAACCCUUUGCCCGAGGCUGAGGCAAACAGGAGAUUCUUCUUCGGCCAUGGAUUAGGUGGAUUCGGUGGAUUCGGACAUGGAUUCGGUGGAUUCGGACAUGGAUAUGGCUACGGACACAGGCCUUACUAUGGAUAUUGGGGAUAAAGAAAGGGGGAAGGAUUACUCUGAUUCGGGGACAUUCUCAGCCCAUUCCGAGGAUAACGUCGGCAGAGCAUCGCAGUUCGAGGACCAACCUUCGUUCCUGCUGUGACAGCCUGGCGGCAAACCCUGGGAUGGGAUGGACUCUUCGCUACGUUAGAUAUUACGCACUCAAAUUUAUCUGUUAGCUAAAAUUGUUCAAUAAAUUGGCUGAUUUUU